UACGGGGGGGGGCAAGCGUUGUUCGGAAUUACUGGGCGUAAAGGGCGCGUAGGUGGCCUUCUUAGUCAGACGUGAAAUCCCCGGGCUUAACUCGGGAACUGCGUCUGAUACUGGAAGGCUGGAGUUCGGGAGAGGAAUGUGGAAUUCCAGGUGUAGCGGUGAAAUGCGUAGAUAUCUGGAGGAAUACCGGUGGCGAAGGCGGCAUCCUGGACCAAUACUGACGAUCAGGUGCGAAAGCGUGGGGAGCAAACAGG
rnacentral:rRNA from 1 species